rnacentral:rRNA from 1 species
ACACAUGCAAGUCGAGGGGCAGCAUUUAAGUUUGCUUGCAAACUAAAGAUGGCGACCGGCGCACGGGUGAGUAACACGUAUCCAACCUGCCGAUAACUCGGGGAUAGCCUUUCGAAAGAAAGAUUAAUAUCCGAUAGUAUAUUAAAACCGCAUGGUUUUACUAUUAAAGAAUUUCGGUUAUCGAUGGGGAUGCGUUCCAUUAGUUUGUUGGCGGGGUAACGGCCCACCAAGACUACGAUGGAUAGGGGUUCUGAGAGGAAGGUCCCCCACAUUGGAACUGAGACACGGUCCAAACUCCUACGGGAGGCAGCAGUGAGGAAUAUUGGUCAAUGGACGAGAGUCUGAACCAGCCAAGUAGCGUGAAGGAUGACUGCCCUAUGGGUUGUAAACUUCUUUUAUAUGGGAAUAAAGUAUUCCACGUGUGGGAUUGUGUAUGUACCAUAUGAAUAAGAUCGGUAA